CCACAACAGAGUUCAGCUGAGAGGUCGGGUUAAAGAAAGUGUGGAAUUGGAGACAGCGGGGUAGAAGAACCAAUGAGUACGGCGAAGAGAGAACCAACGGAGAAAGAUUUCAGUGAGCGCGGGAAGAGAAGCAACAGUGUCCGAUCCCGGUUCCCAAUAAGACACUGCAAAGGAAUGCACUGAGUGUAUAAGGCUCCUUUGAGGUUCAAAAAAUAGAGAAAGAAAAAGCGUUGCCUUUGCAGCCUACCCAGGUGUUCUCUAAACACUGUAAUUUCUUCUUUGUGGGUCGGUGGCCCAGCUGCAUCUUUCCCACGCACCUCGUGACCAUCUCCAGCACUGACCUCCAGCCACUAGGCUCACAAAGAGUUGUUUCAAAAGCACCUUUUUGUGGCAGGAUUCUGGGAUCGGAUCUAAGAAGCCAGUUAACUAAAGGUCUCUACAGCUGAGAUAAGGAUGAAGGACCAUCUUGGCACUAACUGAAGUCUGGAAGAUCGAAGAGUAUCCUACUGACAUCCUACCCUGUGAAAAAAAGUCCACACUGACAAAGGACGGAGUGUCAAUGCUAAUUCCCUAGAAGACUUGAUUAGAUAAACGGAUUCACGGAUACUUCUGGGCACUCACUGUCCUUGGCUGAAUCUAUCACUUAGUAGGACCUUCGGGACACAGCCUGACCACAUGUUUUGAUACUAUCACUCCUGGUUCCUGAACAUAAAUACAGAGUCAAAACGGCAGCAGUGUGCUAAGGGCCUGUGGUGGUUUGAAUACGCUUGGUCCGUGCACAUGCAUGCAGUGGCCACGGAAGCCAGAAGGAGACAUUGGAUUCCCUAGAACUGGAGUUACAGGGAGGUGCAGGAACUGGAUGGUGGGAAUGGGACCUAGGUCCUCACAAGGGCAAAUCAUUAGUGGGAUCCGGGGCUUUUAUACCACUUAUAAUACAACCAGAAGCUUGGAUAACAAUGUGUACCUGCCCAUGUGACUCAAAUACCAUUUCUCUCCACAGAAAAGACCAUGAGAAGUGACUUGGUGGAGAAAGUGUUUAAUUUUCAAAGCUUCAGAAUUUUAACAUGUUAUAUGCUUUCAAGACGCACAACAGUAGAAAACAUAUCUGAAGUUGGCUGUACAAAUUGCCCUAGAUUUUUGAAGCUUUCUGCUUCCCUUUCUCAGAGGGGGUACAUAGCACUAAGGCAUGCAAGAAUACUGACACAGUAGAUCCAUCUGCUACCAGAGAAGAAGGGCAAGGGUGCACAGAAAAACACCCCAACUCUCUCCCUGCCUGGGGGACAGUUCUGAGAUGUGCCCUUAAAGGUUUUCAGAGAUAAGAUCGGAGUUACCCACAGUGUUAUCCUGCUCAUUAAUAAAUCUUACGCUGUUUUAUUUUUUUUUCCUUUCUUGCCUCACUUACCAGACCCAUUACUAUAUUUCCCGAUAUUAUCUCACAAAUAAGUAACCUACAUCCAAAUCCUUACUUGGAAUUAGCUUUGGGGAGCAAAUCAUAAUGGAAAAAAAAUCCAAGACUGUAUUUCAGAAGUUGUAUGUGCAUUACUCAUAGACCUCCCGUGAGAGUGACCUCUGAAAUGUUAAGAAUCAGCACUCGACUUUCUGACUGUUUGGAAAAUUCCUAUGCCAUUGCUCCAGGCCUUCCACGGACCAGGAGAAACUGGUCGAUUGCCUGGCAGAGAGUAGAUUGCAGCAAAGACUUGGAAAAACAUGGUAGGGCUUAGAAAACAUUGCUGACCGGUGUAUGUGUGUGGGGGUGGGGGUGGGGGGGGGUGUUCAAUACACCCAGGUUAGACAGUCCAUCUCUCUGGGGGCCUAGGUCAGACAAGGAGGUUGGAUCUUGCUGCUUUUAUGGACAACUUCAACCUGGCUGGCACAAGUGUGUAGCAAUUGCUUGAGAUCACUGGAGCGUGGAGACAAGGCACGAAGCACAGAUAAACGAAGAGGAAAGCAAGAGUUUGCAAAGCUGCUACAGAAAGCUGGAAGAAGCACAGGCUAAGUCGGAGAAACCCAGUCCCUGCUGCUGGAUCCAACGCGAAGAAGCCGCUUCCAGCCACUGGAGGACCUCAGGCUGUCCAAGAGAACAGACUGGGAACUCUUACUGGGAAAUAUAAAUUGAAGGAACCAAACUAGGAAGGCAGGCCCACAGGUAGAGCAGUUGGAUAUUCUCAGCCCAGUGGUUAAAACUAGCAGCGAAAGGAACUGACAUGGAGAAGGCUCAGAAAGCUGAGAAUACACACAAGUGACUGAGC
rnacentral:lncRNA from 1 species